rnacentral:rRNA from 1 species
GAUGAACGCUAGCGGCAGGCCUAACACAUGCAAGUCGAGGGGGAAGUUACUUUCGGGUGACUGAGACCGGCGUACGGGUGCGUAACGCGUAUACAAUCUGCCUUUCACUGGGGGAUAGCCCGAAGAAAUUUGGAUUAAUACCCCAUAGUAUAUAGGGACGGCAUCGUUUUUAUAUUAAAGCUUAGGUGGUGAAAGAUGAGUAUGCGUUCUAUUAGCUAGUUGGAGAGGUAACGGCUCCCCAAGGCGAUGAUAGAUAGGGGUUCUGAGAGGGAUGUCCCCACACUGGUACUGAGAUACGGACCAGACUCCUACGGGAGGCAGCAGUGAGGAAUAUUGGACAAUGGUCGGAAGACUGAUCCAGCCAUGCCGCGUGCAGGAUGAAGGUCUUAUGGAUUGUAAACUGCUUUUGUAAGGGAAGAAUAAGGGCUACGCGUAGUUUGAUGACGGUACCUUACGAAUAAGCAUCGGCUAACUCCGUG